CUUUUAUUUGGGUGGUCUAAGAAUAACAGCUAGCCUAGCAAGAGGAAGGAUGUGUCCACCUUCUCAGUUUCCACUAAUAGCAUCCUCUGUCUUUGCUUGAGGAAGAGUCUUUUGGAUCAUGACUAAAGCCUGGACAAGCUUCUCUAGAAGCAAUGACAGGGAGUCCUUCAGAGUUUGCAGGUGAUGGAGAGAAUACCAAGACCUAGGCUCCCCGAUCUCCCUGCAUCCCUGUCAUUUUUGGCAAUGUCGCUAAUCGGCCCAGCAGCCCGAAUCCACACGCCCUGGCGUCCAGGCUCUGCAAGGUGCAGCUGGUCUCAGGCCCUGUCUCAGAAUACAGAAGUAAUCAGAAUUUAUUCACGUGGGCUGACUGAGAGUUUUGACAUCAAAGGGCAAUCCUGUCUGAUUGAUACCACUCAAAUGGCAAUGUUGUUUGAAGAAAUGUAG
rnacentral:lncRNA from 1 species